UAACUGGAGAACUGUCAGAGAAGCUUGGAUUUAGUAAUUCAACCAGUCCAAGUCAGAGCUAGAAGAAAAACGACCAUCUUUGGUUUCAAGAUGAGAGGUGUUCUUCCACCAGGAUAAUGCUUGGCGACAUACAGCAAGGAUGACAUUCCAAAGGCUGGAGUAGUUAGAAUGGAAAACAAUGCCCUACCCACCAUAUUCGCUGGACAUUGCUCCAUCUGAUUAUUUAUUCUAUAGUCUUCA